UAAAGCCCUUUCAGUGGGAACGAUGAUGACGGUACCCACAGAAGAAGCCCCGGCUAACUCCGUGCCAGCAGCCGCGGUAAUACGGAGGGGGCGAGCGUUGUUCGGAAUUAUUGGGCGUAAAGAGCGCGUAGGCGGCUUGUUAAGUCAGAAGUGAAAGCCUCAGGCUUAACCUGGGAACUGCUUUUGANACUGGCAGGCUAGAGUCCGGCAGAGGAUGGUGGAAUUCCCCGUGUAGAGGUGAAAUUCGUAGAUAUGGGGAGGAAGACC
rnacentral:rRNA from 1 species